GAGGGUCGGUUUCAUCUAGGAGGGGAAGGUCAGAAGGAGAAGCGACUGGCUUUGGAUAUGCUUCCAUGGGGUUCAGGUUUUCCAUGGCCAGUUGGGGCUCUUUCCCUGCUGAGCCUGGGCCUCAUGUUCAAAGGUGCUUCUGAGG
ensembl:miRNA